AUCUCGGGCCUCCCACCAGAGCCUGCGUUUUAUCAAGGGUGCCCAAGGGAAUGCGGGGGCCUGAGGUGGGCUUCCUGAGCCCACGCCUACAGCCACAUCUCUUAGCAUACAAGGAGACAAGAUCAUGUACGUGGAAGCCCCAGGCCUCCUCAUCUGCAACUAAUCCCAGAGACAAGGAGGGAAGGUCAAUGGAGGCACCCCAGGAUUGAGGUCCCCUGCCUGCAGUCUGUGCAUGGAAGGGCCGCCAUGAGGCUCAGUGGGAAUGUUCAAAGUCAUCCCCCUGGGAGGCAGCUGACAACUCUAAUAUAUGCUGUUUUUAACUGAUGCUACUCAGUUU